UAAUAGCUCACUGGUCGAGUGACUCUGCGCGGAAAAUAUAACGGGGCUAAGCAUGCAACCGAAGCUUGGGAUUGUCUAAAGACAGUGGUAGGGGAGCGUCGUGUACGGGGUGAAGUCGCAUCGGAAGGAGCGGUGGACUGUACACGAGUGAGAAUGCCGGAAUGAGUAGCGAGAAUUAUGUGGGAAUCAUAAUGGCCGAAAAUCUAAGGUUUCUUGGGGAAGGUUCGUCCGCCCAAGGUAAGCCGGGAGCUAAGGCGAGGCCGCAAGGCGUAGUCGAUGCACAUACGGUAAAGAUUCCGUAGCCGCCGAACUUUAAGUCAGAGGGACACUUGCAGAUAGCGGAACCCAGCCGUUGGUUGAGCUGGGCGAAAGGGACUGAAAUUAGUAGGGAAGUCCGCGAUGCUGAAAGGCGAGAAAAGCUCUGAUGAAUACUAAGGCGCCCGUACCGCAAACCGACACAGGUAGAUGAGGAGAGAAUCCUAAGGCCAACGGGAGAAGGGUUGUUAAGGAACUCGGCAAAUUGACCCCGUAACUUCGGAAGAAGGGGAGCCCCGAAAGGGGCCGCAGUGAAUAGGCCCAAGCAACUGUUUACCAAAAACACAGGUUUAUGCUAAAUCGAAAGAUGACGUAUAUGAGCUGACGCCUGCCCGGUGCCGGAAGGUUAAGAGGAGAGCUUAGAGCAAUCGAAGGUUUGAAUUGAAGCCCCGGUAAACGGCGGCCGUAACUAUAACGGUCCUAAGGUAGCGAAAUUCCUUGUCAGGUAAGUUCUGACCCGCACGAAUGGCGUAAUGAUUUGGGCACUGUCUCAACAGCCCGCCCGGCGAAAUUGUAGUACUGGUGAAGAUGCCAGUUACCCGCAACUAGACGGAAAGACCCCAUGGAGCUUUACUGCAGUUUAAUACUGGGAAUCGGUAAUGCAUGUACAGGAUAGGUGGGAGACUAGGAAGCAUGGUCGUCAGGUCAUGUGGAGUCACCGGUGGGAUACCACUCUUGUAUUGCUGAUUUCCUAACCUGCGGCCGUGAAUCCGGUCGGGGGACACUGUUAGACGGGCAGUUUGACUGGGGCGGUCGCCUCCAAAAGAGUAACGGAGGCGCUCAAAGGUUCGUUCAGCACGGACGGAAAUCGUGCAUUGAGUGUAAACGCAUAAACGAGCCUAACUGCGAGACCGACGGGUCGAGCAGUAACGAAAGUUGGAGUUAGUGAUCCGGUGGUAUGUGAGUGG
rnacentral:rRNA from 1 species